rnacentral:snRNA from 2 species
AUCGCUUCUCGGCCUUUUGGCUAAGAUCAAGUGUGGAAUAAAAUAGGUAGAAAAAAAGCUACACAUUUUUAAUAUUGAGGAAGAUAAGAUCUAUCUUGAGUUUGAAUCCAAACAUUCAUUACACUAGUAUUAUUGGAUGCAUUAAAC